rnacentral:rRNA from 1 species
AACGAACGCUGGCGGCAGGCUUAACACAUGCAAGUCGAACGCCCCGCAAGGGGAGUGGCAGACGGGUGAGUAACGCGUGGGAAUCUACCCAACCCUACGGAACAACUCCGGGAAACUGGAGCUAAUACCGUAUACGCCCUACGGGGAAAGAUUUAUCGGGGAUGGAUGAGCCCGCGUUGGAUUAGCUAGUUGGUGGGGUAAAGGCCUACCAAGGCGACGAUCCAUAGCUGGUCUGAGAGGAUGAUCAGCCACAUUGGGACUGAGACACGGCCCAAACUCCUACGGGAGGCAGCAGUGGGGAAUAUUGGACAAUGGGCGCAAGCCUGAUCCAGCCAUGCCGCGUGAGUGAUGAAGGUCUUAGGAUUGUAAAGCUCUUUCACCGGAGAAGAUAAUGACGGUAUCCGGAGAAGAAGCCCCGGCUAACUUCGUGCCAGCCGCCGCAGUAA